GACGAACGCUGGCGGCGUGCUUAACACAUGCAAGUCGAACGGAAAGGCCCUGCUUUUGUGGGUUGCUUGAUUGCCGAACGGGUGAGUAACACGCGUGUAACCUCCCCUUGUCUUUGGGAUAACUCCAGGAAACUGGGGCUAAUACCGCAUAUGAUCUCUUGCUGCAUGUUGGGGAUUGGAAAGUUUCGGUGGUUGUGGAUGUACUCGCGGCUUAUCAGCUUGUUGGUGUGGUAUUUGCUUACCAAGGCUUUGACGGGUAGCCGGCCUGAGAGGGUUACCGGCGACAUGGGGACUGAGAUACGGCCCAGACUGCUACGGGAGGCAGAAGUGGGGAAUAUUGCACAAUGGGCGGAAGCCUGAGGCAGAAACGCCGCGUGCGGGAUGACGGCCUUCGGGUUGUAAACCGCUGUCGCCUGUGACGAAGAGUGAGUGACGGUAAUGGGUAAAGAAGCACCGGCUAACUACGUG
rnacentral:rRNA from 1 species